CACGAACUGCGCGAACGUUAUUCGGAAUCACUGGGCUUAAAGAGUCCGUAGGCGGCCAUGUAGGUGAGGUGUGAAAUCCCACGGCUCAACCGUGGAAUUGCGCUUCAAACCACAUGGCUCGAGGGAGAUAGAGGAGAGCGGAACUGAUGGUGGAGCGGUGAAAUGCGUUGAUAUCAUCAGGAACACCGGUGGCGAAAGCGGCUCUCUGGGUCUCUUCUGACGCUGAGGGACGAAAGCUAGGGGAGCGAACGGG
rnacentral:misc_RNA from 1 species